rnacentral:lncRNA from 1 species
CGCUCAACUGUCAGCGCUUUCGGCGGCCAGCGUAUGAACGACAAAACCAGGCAACAGAGGGAAUAUAGAGAUCAGUGGGGAAACUUAAUAGGUUCCAUUCUACUGAUGCGUUCAUUCUGUGGUUCAUUCUUCAGCCAACGUUAGCUAGUCCGUAGAUAUCGCCGGUCUCUGGGUGUCCGCAGAUUGAAUUUCAUCUUUAUUAUGUAUUGAAAUGGAGAAGUUAAACAGAUUGUGCAAGUUUGGAAAUGCGCACAUGAGUGCGUACCGCAUGCUUUAAUCUAUAUACUUAUAUGUAUACGACCAGUGAUUUGAAAUAAAUUUUCUAGUCAGCUUAUAUUGUACAUUAUUCCAAAAAUUAUCUAUCCUGAUAUACACUGAAUAUAAAUGUAAAGUGUGUAAAAAUAAAUGUAAAUCCGAACUGGCAAAUUUGCGUGAGUUAGAAUCUGAGCUGCAAAUGACCUAUUAGUAUAAAUAUUACUAAAUAUAAUGACAUGAGUUUGAAAAAAUAAAGUGAAAAGAUAGCUCGUUAUACUUUGUGACGUCCCUAGAAUAACCAAAAUUGUACAACUUAUAAAAAGAAGGCGUGCAAUAGGAUGGGUCUAUUUCAACAAAAGAAAGAAAUUGAGACUCUCAUAAGCUAAAAUAAAGAGACACAUUCCUCGGGAAGAUUCUUCCAUCCCUCUGAUGACUAAUGAUCGAGAGGUUUCAAGGCGAGGUAAGACGUUGGAAAGCUUGCAACCACCCUGAGCGAUUUCUCGGAAUUUAGGCUGACAAGUUUUUUGACUUCGCGUCGAGAAAUCUGCGUCCAAAUGGACCUGAAGGUCUACAAAAAUUAUCAGAUGACAAGCAUCCGGAGGAUGGAGACGCGAUUCGGACAACCAGUGGCUGUAGAUGAGAAUGGUACGUGCAGCGUUGUCUUGUCAGCUUGGGUAGUGAAAAUGCUGUAUGAUGAUGACAUCCUAUUCCGGAAUGUGGUACAGGCUACUUGCGAGGAUCGGCUGCUGAAGUAUUGAGGUAAACAUCGUGUGCAGUGCUUCCAUUCUGGCAUCUGGGUAGACUGGAAUAUCGACGAGGGUACAAGCAAUGUCGACGAGACGGGGCAAGUCACAAUCUAGCUGUGACAAUUCAACCGAAGUAUUUUCCAAUCGUUCGUCUACGUCUGCAGACCAUUGUUGCAUGAGCGUAUCAAUGUCAACUGUUGGUUUUGAGAGAUGUACUGUAAGCGGGUGCCUAUUUGUGUGCAACUGGUCCUGAACUUGUACUAUGACUUCGCAAUUGCAAAUGCAGAACGGCAGGCUCCGAUUGAUUGGCGCAGGGCUCAUCCAGAACGACUAGCCCUACUUUAUCAGCGGUACCAUCGGGUUUCGGAACUUUAAUGAAAGCAUCAAUAUCGCCGACUGCUGGAAUGUAGUCGGGCACGAACGGAAUGAGCUUGUAGUCAAGGUCAAUUUUCUGCGAUGCCCACUGAAAAACAUAGAAAGGCAAAAACCUGACCAACUCACCUUGUGAUAUUCUCGAAAAGUUCUUUGAUUUCAGCUGAUACGUGAAGAUCUUCAAAUUCCUUUGGAUCAUAAGUUUCAAAACCUUUGGUUGUUCCACCUUGUAUAUCAUCGUCAUCCGUCUCUUCACUAUCAGAAGCAUCAUUCAUGAGUGCGCUUGACUUGCCAAACGAUGUGGGUUCAACGUGGUCCGUAAGCUUGUUCGAAUAUCUAGUGGAACAAUUUUUGAAUAUUCCAUAUAUGCUUAUAGGAUUUUAAUGUACUUAACCGUCUACCGACACAAAAAUUAAAUAAGAUGCCAAAGGAA